rnacentral:rRNA from 1 species
UACGUAGGGUGCAAGCGUUGUCCGGAAUUAUUGGGCGUAAAGAGCUCGUAGGCGGUCUGUCGCGUCUGCUGUGAAAACCUGGGGCUUAACCCCGGGCCUGCAGUGGGUACGGGCAGACUAGAGUGUGGUAGGGGAGUCUGGAAUUCCUGGUGUAGCGGUGAAAUGCGCAGAUAUCAGGAGGAACACCGGUGGCGAAGGCGGGUCUCUGGGCCAUAACUGACGCUGAGGAGCGAAAGCGUGGGGAGCGAACAGG